rnacentral:rRNA from 1 species
GUGAGGAAUAUUGGACAAUGGUCGGGAGACUGAUCCAGCCAUGCCGCGUGCAGGAUGACUGCCCUAUGGGUUGUAAACUGCUUUUAUACGGGAAGAAACCACCCUACGUGUAGGGUGCUGACGGUACCGUAAGAAUAAGGACCGGCUAACUCCGUGCCAGCAGCCGCGGUAAUACGGAGGGUCCGAGCGUUAUCCGGAAUCAUUGGGUUUAAAGGGUCCGUAGGCGGGCCGUUAAGUCAGGGGUGAAAGUCUGCGGCUCAACCGUAGAAUUGCCUUUGAUACUGGCGGUCUUGAGUCAUGGUGGGGUUGCCGGAACAUGUGGUGUAGCGGUGAAAUGCAUAGAUAUCACAUAGAACACCGAUCGCGAAGGCAGGUGACCAACCAUGUACUGACGCUGAUGGACGAAAGCGUGGGUAGCGAACGGGAUUAGAAACCCCGGUAGUCC